rnacentral:rRNA from 1 species
ACGACUCUCGGCAACGGAUAUCUCGGCUCUCGCAUCGAUGAAGAACGUAGCGAAAUGCGAUACCUGGUGUGAAUUGCAGAAUCCCGCGAACCAUCGAGUCUUUGAACGCAAGUUGCGCCCGAAGCCACUCGGCCGAGGGCACGCCUGCCUGGGCGUCACGC